GUGGAGUGGGAAUAAGACGUAAAUAUAAUAUGGAUGGGGAAUGCCGAUAAAUCAACGUUUUUCAACUUUUGAAAUGCUUGAUUUUCAUUAAAAAUGAUAUGGUUCCCUACCAUUUUUCCUACCAAAAAAGGGC
rnacentral:sRNA from 16 species